ensembl:lncRNA
AAUGGCUGUGUCUAUCAAGUGAAUAACAAAGUGUAGACUGCCCGUCCGUUUCCUAUACAAAACUUAGAUUUCAUGUGCCAUCAUUGUUGGUCUUUCUGCUGAUUUAAUAACUUCCGAGAAGAACUGAGGAUUCUGAUGCAGCCUCACUAUUUAAGAAACUACUUGGAGAGGGAAUUCUCAAGGGCUGGAAGAGAGUCUUCAGAUAGAGAAAGUCUCUAGUGCUGAAAGAUGACAGAGCUGAAUAAUGUCAUCAACAUUUUUAUUUUGUCUUGUGCUAUUACAGCUAUUUUUCUUGCUCUGUUUCAUCCAUGCCUUUCCAUGGAGCAAAGAAACAAGAUAUCAACAAUCAGGGGCAUGGCAACUAUGAUUCCAUCAUUCACAAGUUCAAUUUCCUUCAAAAGAACAAGUGAUACUGUUAACCAGGCCCUGCAAGCACAUAUAAAACAAACAGCAUGACUGGAAAAGAGAAAAUGAAAAAUGGUCUAAGAAACCUUAUCUUUCUCCCAUAACCAAGUAUACUAGUCCCACCCUUUGGAGCUCAGAUGAACAGAAUGAAGAUCAUGGCGUUCCUAACACUAGCCCUUUCUUUCUACAUAACCCAGAAUGAUGUAGCCCUCUAUUUAAAAGGCAGUAAAAAGGAUGCAAAUGUUCUCCCUUGAAGCCCAGAUGUUUUCUAUCUUUCUAAGCUCCAAUUAUUUCACCACAUUAUUUAGC